rnacentral:tRNA from 1 species
GGAGGCGUGCCCGAGCAGGGACUACACUGAUGAAGUAGACACGGAGACAAUAUUCUCCCGCCCCCA